GAUAAACGCUGGCGGCGCACAUAAGACAUGCAAGUCGAACGAACUUAACCUAUUCUUUUAGUUUAGGAGCGGUUAGUGGCGGAACUGGUGAGUAAUGUGUAAGCAACCUGCCUAUCAGAGGGGAACAACAGUUAGAAAUGACUGCUAAUACCGCAUAAGCUUGUAGUACCGCAUGGUAUAGCAAGAAAAGGAGCAAUCCGCUAAUAGAUGAGCUUGCGGCUGAUUAGCUAGUUGGUAAGGUAACGGCUUACCAAGGCAACGAUCAGUAGCCGGGCUGAGAGGCUCUGCGGCCACAUUGGGACUGAGAUACGGCCCAGACUCCUACGGGAGGCAGCAGUCGGGAAUAUUGCGCAAUGGAGGAAACUCUGACGCAGUGACGCCGCGUAUAGGAAGAAGGUUUUAGGAUUGUAAACUAUUUUAGUCAGGGAAGAAAAAUGACUGUACCUGAAGAAUAAGCUCCGGCUAACUACGUG
rnacentral:rRNA from 1 species